CCCUUAGAUGUUCUGGGCAGCACGCGCGCUACAAUGGUCUUCGCAAACGGAUGCAUUCUCGAAGGAGAAUGCCAAUCUUGGAAUCUAUGCCUUGGUCGGGACAGUUGCUUGCAAUUUUUCGACUCGAACCAGGAAUUCCUUGUAAUCGUGAUUCAUCACAUCACGAUGAAUACGUCCCUGCCCUUUGUACGCACCGCCCGUCGCUCCUACCGAUCGAAGAGUUAGGUGAAUUGUUUUGAUCGAUAAGAUUUGACUAUGGUCAACUCUCGUUGGGAAAUUCUGUGAAUCUGACUGUUUAGAGGAAGGAAAAGUCGUAACA
rnacentral:rRNA from 1 species